rnacentral:rRNA from 1 species
AUGGAGGGCGCCGUGCUCUGCGCCGCCAACCACGCGCCGCUCACGCCCCUCUCCUUCCUCGACCGGUCCGCGCUCGUCUACCCGGACCGCCCCGCUGUCGUGGCCGCCGCCGGCGACGCGCCGCCCCGGACGUGGCGGGAGACCCGGGCCCGCUGCCUCCGCCUCGCCGCCGCGCUCGCCGGCCUCGGCGUCCAGCGCCGCCACGUGGUCGCCGUGUUCGCGCAGAACGUCCCGGCGAUGUGCGAGCUGCACUUCGCCGUGCCCAUGGCCGGCGCCGUCAUCUGCGCGCUCAACUCGCGCCUCGACGCCGCCAUGGCCUCCGUCCUGCUGCGCCACUCGGAGGCCAGGGUCCUCUUCGUCGACUCCGCGCUGCUCGGCGUCGCGCGGGAGGCCCUCCGCCUCCUGUCCGACGCCGGCGCCACGCCCCCCGUCGUCGUCCUCAUCACAGAGCUCCUCGACGGCUGCGACGACGAGGGAUCAACACCAUCUCCUGGUGCAAGCGCUGAGCACGAGUACGAGGCUCUGGUGAGCCGGGGCGGACCGCCGGAGUUCGCGGCCCGGUGGCCGGCGGACGAGAACGAGCCGAUCGCGCUCAACUACACGUCGGGGACGACGUCGCGGCCCAAGGGCGUGAUCUACAGCCACCGUGGCGCGUACCUCAACAGCCUCGCGGCCGUGCUGCUCAACGACAUGCCGUCCAUGCCGGUGUACCUGUGGACGGUGCCCAUGUUCCACUGCAACGGCUGGUGCAUGGCGUGGGGCGUGGCGGCGCAGGGCGGCACCAACGUCUGCCUCCGCAAGGUCACCGGCGCGGCCAUCUUCGACGCCGUGUCCCGGCACGGGGUCACCCACAUGGGUGGCGCGCCGACGGUGCUGGGCAUGAUCGUGCACGCCGCGCCGGAGGAGAGGCGGCCGCUGCCGGCGGGGAGGAAGGUGGCCGUGAUGACCGGCGGCGCGCCCCCGCCGCCGGUGGUGCUGUUCCGGAUGGAGGCGCUGGGGUUCCUGGUGAUCCACUCCUACGGGCUGACGGAGACGUACGGCCCGGCGACGGUGUGCACGUGGAGGCCCGAGUGGGACGCGCUGCCGGCGGGCGAGCGGGCGGCGAUCAAGGCGCGGCAGGGGCUCCACCACCUGGGCCUCGAGGUGGACGUCAAGGACCCCGCGACGAUGCGCAGCGUCCCCGCCGACGGGGCCACGAUGGGGGAGGUGAUGUUCCGGGGCAACACGGUGAUGAGCGGGUACUACAAGGACGCGGCCGCCACGGCGGAGGCGCUCGCCGGCGGGUGGUUCCGGUCGGGCGACCUGGCGGUGCGGGUCCCCGGGGACGGGUACGUGAAGAUCAGGGACCGGUCCAAGGACAUCAUCAUCUCCGGCGGGGAGAACAUCAGCACCAUCGAGGUGGAGGCCGCGCUGUUCGCGCACCCGGCCGUGGCGGAGGCGGCCGUGGUCGGGCGGCCGGACGAGCACUGGGGCGAGACGCCGUGCGCGUUCGUGGUGGCCAAGAAGGGGGAGAGGGUGGAGCCGGAGGAGGUGGUGGCGUUCUGCCGGGGCAGGCUGCCGCGGUACAUGGCGCCGAGGACGGUGGUGGUGGUGGAGGAGCUGCCCAAGACGGCGACCGGCAAGGUGCAGAAGUUCGCGCUCCGGGACAAGGCCAAGGCCAUGGGCAACCUCUCCACCAGCAAGCUCUGA